rnacentral:rRNA from 1 species
GACGAACGCUGGCGGCGUGCUUAACACAUGCAAGUCGAACGGAAAGGCCCUGCUUUUGUGGGGUGCUCGAGUGGCGAACGGGUGAGUAACACGUGAGUAACCUGCCCUUGACUUUGGGAUAACUUCAGGAAACUGGGGCUAAUACCGGAUAGGAGCUCCUGCUGCAUGGUGGGGGUUGGAAAGUUUCGGCGGUUGGGGAUGGACUCGCGGCUUAUCAGCUUGUUGGUGGGGUAGUGGCUUACCAAGGCUUUGACGGGUAGCCGGCCUGAGAGGGUGACCGGGCAGAGGGGGAGAGAGAUACGCGCCAGACGGAUGCGGGAGGCAGCAGUGGGGAGUAUUGCACAAGGGGCGGAAGCCUGAUGCAGCAACGCCGCGUGCGGGAUGAGGGAGUUAGGGUGGUAAACAGAUUUGGCCUGGGAAGAAGCGUGAGUGAAGGUAAUGGGUAAAGAAGCACCGGCUAACUACGUG